CUCCAGGCUGUAGCAUCCCGGUGAUGAGAGCUCCACCCAGAGGCGAGUUCAGGUUAAUCAGGUCUCCAGAUGUCGAGUCAGCAACACCAGUGCGCCAAUCGAGAACGUGUACGAGAAGAAAUUGUUCUCAGAAAAUCACACCGAGAACCACGAAGUGGAGAAAUCUCCUCUUCCUCCUCCUCCUAUUCUUCUUUCUUCUCUUCCUCCUUUUCUGCUUCUUCCUCUUCCACCUUUUCCUCAUCUUCCUUUCUUCUGCUCUUUAUCUUCAUCCUCCUCCUCCUCUUUGUUCAUCUUCCUCCUCCUCACCUUCCCUCUCAUCCUCUUCAUCCUUAUCCUGUUCAUCUUCCUUCUUCUUCUCCUACUCAUUUCUCCUUCCCUCCUCCUCCUCCUCUUCCUCUUCCUCUGCCUUACCUUCCUCUUCCUCAUUUUCAUUUUCCUCCUCUUCCUGUCCUUCAUCUUCGUCCCCCUCCUCCUCCUCCUGUUCUUCUUUUUCUCCUCCUCUUCCUCUUCCCCCUCCUCCAUCUCUUCGUCCGAACCCUUCUCUUCCUCCACCUCUUUUUCUUCCUCCUCCUCCUCCUCCUCCUCUUCUUCUCCCUCCUACUUCUUCUCCUCCCUUCUUCCUGUUCUUCCUCUUCCUGAACCAUCUCCUUCUUCUCUUCCUCCUUCGCCUCUUCCACUUCAUCUUCUUUCCUCUCCACCUGUGAAGACAAAAUGCUCUGAAAAAGGUGGACACUUUUGGUUUGAAAGUCGUUUGUCAGCAUUAUUGAUUCGUUCCCUCAUGCGAACCGAAUUACAUUCGAUCCAAUUUGCUUUCCAACACACACACACACACACACACACACACACACACACACACACACACACACACACACACACACACACACACACACACACCCUGCAGCCUUGAUUUGCAUGCCGAGGUGAAGAGGGGCUUUGUUUCUUGAAGCUGGGUCACGCAAUCUAAAGUGUCACUCCUAGGAAUAAAGGAUAGUCUGAGUGCUGGGAACUGAAAUGUGGAAUAAACG
ensembl:lncRNA